CCCAGUUCAGGGAGGUAGUGACAAUAAAUACCUUACAGAGGUCUCGUUAACCGAGAUCUCUCAAACGGAAUGAGUACAACGUGAAUCCUUUAACGAGGAUCGACUGGAGGGCAAGCCUGGUGCCAGCAGCCGCGGUAAUUCCAGCUCCAGUAGCGUAUAUUAAAGCUGUUGCGGUUAAAAAGCUCGUAGUUGGAUAUCAGUGCGUGUCCGGUCCGGUAUGCCUGGCAUUGUCGCUCUGCGGCAGCGCUGGGCUCCCAAAUAUCGGCUGGCCGCAUUCAAUCGUGCCGGAUCCGUCGACGGGCCGUUCUUCGGAGGGGCCUGUUGGCGACCGGCGACGUUACCUUGAACAAAUUAGAGUGCUCAAAGCAGGCUCUGUAUGCCUGUAUACAUAUUCAUGGAAUUGGAGAAUACGUCCCUGGCUCGAUUUGGUUGGUUUUGAGAGUCGAAGGGAAAUGAUUAAUAGGGACUGACGGAGGCAUUCGUAUUGCGACGCGAGGGGUGAAAUCCUGUGACCGUCGCACGACGAACUACUGCGAAAGCAUUUGCCGAGAAUGUUUUCAUUAGUCAAGAACGAAAGUUAGAGGUUCGAAGGCGAUCAGAUACCGCCCUAGUUCUAACCGUAAACGAUGUCGACCAGCAAUCCGCAACGGUCACUUAUCGGACUGUGCGGGCAGCUUCCCCGGGGAAACCAGAGUUUUUGGACUCCGGGGGAAGUAUGGUUGCAAAGCUGAAACUUAAAGGAAUUGACGGAAGGGCACCACCAGGAGUGGAGCUUGCGGCUUAAUUUGACUCAACACGGGACAACUCACCAGGCCCGGACACCGUAAGGAUUGACAGACUGAUAGCUCUCUCUUGAUUCAGUGGGUGGUGGUGCAUGGCCGUUCUUAGUUGGUGGAGUGAUUUGUCUGGUUUAUUCCGAUAACGAACGAGACUCUGGCCUAUUAAACUUGACACUGUCAGUCUCUUGUGACUGCGGUGCGCUUCUUAGAGGGAUCAUCGGCGUCCCAGCCGAAGGAAAGGGAGCAAUAACAGGUCUGUGAUGCCCUUAGAUGUUCUGGGCUGCACGCGUGUUACACUGAAGUGGUCAGCGCGCCGUUCAACACCCCUCUCCGUGAGGAGCUUGGGCAAACGUUUGAACCCUUUUCGUGAUGGGAAUUGGGGGUUGCAAUUG
rnacentral:rRNA from 1 species